AAAACCCUGAAGAAAUGCUCCGGUCAAUACUCCGAUCAGCCGCUACGGCGGCGAAAUCCCAUCCCACCACCGGAGAUAUCCGUAUACAGGCAGCAAUCUCAGCAUCUUCUAAGGUCUCUUCUUCCAGAACCUUCGCGACAAGCACACACCCGAAGAAACCCAACUUCAGACCGGAUAUAAAACACGAAAAUGCUGCAGCAGGUGCCAAAGCUGCUGAAACGCUCAACAAGGAUCUUCGUGCACGCUUUCUCAAAGAAGACGAGAAGGAUAAAUCACUGGAUAUAGGUCCAGAUGGUCGUUCACUAUUCACUUCGGCAGCUUCUAUUUCUGAGCUUACCAAAAAAGAUACAUGUACUUACAUGAAAUUCAGGAGGGAAGAGCUGGAUAGAGUUUUGCCGG
rnacentral:misc_RNA from 1 species